rnacentral:tRNA from 1 species
GUCCUUAUCGUCUAGGGGUUAGGACAUUGCCCUUUCACGGCAAUAACAUGGGUUCAAAUCCCAUUAAGGAUA